UUUCUUUUUUUGUUUUUUUUUUUUUUUUUUUUUUUCAAAUUUGAUCAGAUUUCACAAGACUUAAGGAAGCUACAUCCAGAGGCAGACUUUUUGUAGACUGGGCUACAUUUGUAAGAUGGAAAGGUGCAUUAAGAGCUGGGUGACAUGACUUCAGACGUUAAAGGGGAGAGUGCUUUCAAAGUCCUGCCCAUUCUGGAGGAAGGGUCCACAGAACCACAACCACAGAAGUCUGGAAGUCAUUAAUUGACGUGCAAACCUGUGGGGACCAGCAUGUUGGAUUUGUGCCUUGGGGACGAGACAACAACAUCGCAGACCUUCGCCAUUGUUACGGGCUGCGCCACUGAAGCUACUGACUUGUUG